rnacentral:rRNA from 1 species
GGACUACAGGGGUUUCUAAUCCUGUUUGCUACCCUAGCCUUCGCGCCUCAGCGUCAGUUGCAGCCCAGAUAGUCGCCUUCGCCACUGGUGUUCCUCCCGAUAUCUACGCAUUUCACCACUACACCGGGAAUUCCACUAUCCUCUGCUGCACUCUAGUCUUACAGUUUCAAAUGACCCUUGCCGGUUAAGCCGGCCUCUUUCACAUCUGACUUGUAAAACCGCCUGCGCGCUCUUUACGCCCAAUAAUUCCGGACAACGCUUGCAUCCUACGUAUUACCGCGGCGGCUGGCAC